rnacentral:lncRNA from 1 species
AUGUAUACAUAUAUAGGCUACAUUUUUGAAACUAUUCAUCUGUUGAUGGACACAUGUUGCUUCCAUAUAUCGGCUAUUGUAAAUAAUGCUACUCAGAACAUUGACAUGCGUGUAUUUUUUCAAAUUUGUGUUUUUCUUUUCUUUGGAUACAUACCCAGGAGUGGAAUUCUGGAUUGUAUGCUACUGCCAUUUUUAAUUUUUGAGAAAUCUCCCAUAAUGUUUUCCACAGUAGUUGUACUAACUUAUAUUCCUACUAACAGUGCAGGAGGGUUCCCUUUUCUCCACAUCCUCACCAAUACUUGUUAUUUAUUGUCUUAUUGUCUUUUCUUUUUUUUUUGGCUGUGCCUGCUGCAUGUUCCCAGGCCAGGGAUCAAACCUGUACCACAGCAACAACCCAAGCUGCUUAAGAGAAAAUGCCAGAUCCAUAACCUGCUGCAUCACAACAGAACUCCUGUUUACUGUCUUUUUGAAGAUAGCCAUUCUUAUAGAUUGCACUGUACACUCUUACGCACCUGGCUUUCUAUGCGUACCUUUUAGUACUGAAGCGUUUUCCCUCCAACUGCUGUUUUAUAAAAUAUCAUGUACAAUCAGCCCUCCGUAUCUGCAGUUCGGCACCUACAGAUUCAACCGACCCAAGAUAGAAAGUAUUAAAAAAAAAAAGUUCCAAAAAAGCAACUUGAUUUUGCUGUGCACCAGCAACUAUUUACGUAUUUACAUUGUAUUUCCAACUAUUCCCACAGUGCAUUUUAUUAGGUGUUACAAGUAAUACGUAAUUACAAGUACUUAAAAUAUUACAAAAGAACGUGCAUAGGUUAUAUUCAAAUACUACGCCACUUCAAAUAAGGACCUUGAGGAUCCUCAGAUUUUGGAAUGGUGCAGGGAUCACAGGACCAAAACCCCAACAGGUUACGGAGGUUAGACUGUACGAGCUAACAGCGGAUUGGUUCCAAUCCUCCAAACCCAAGGCCCCCUCCCUUAGGCCCACAAGCUCUGAGGACCCCUUCUCGGGCUGUCUCCGGUGGUGCCUGUCGGACGAGCCUCGCCCGC